rnacentral:lncRNA from 1 species
AACAAGCUCUCUGGGACGAGAUUGUCUUAUCGUGGGGCACAAGGACAUAGCAUCAUCAUUUUCAUGACAGGUGUGAAGACACAGAUUCCCAAACAAUAUCCAGACAGCACCUUCCUCCAGAUGCAUGCGGCAUGCUGUCCUGAAGUUGAAGAACAAAUCAGCAGGUCUGGCUUCUGGCUCCAAUAUCUUACAGUGCAUGUACUAGUCUUCUGGUUCAUUCGAAGGAAAGGAUACCAUGCCCAUAACAGGCUGACUUGCUUUAUACUACUAAAAGGUAAUUCCAUGUGUCCUUUGGGUGUUAUGGUACAUUUGGGGCUCUCUUUACAUGCU